AACGAACGCUGGCGGCAGGCCUAACACAUGCAAGUCGAACGCCCUAGCAAUAGGGAGUGGCAGACGGGUGAGUAACGCGUGGGAACCUUCCCAAUGGUGCGGAAUAACUCAGGGAAACCUGAGCUAAUACCGCAUAAGCCCGAAAGGGGAAAGAUUUAUCGCCAUUGGAUGGGCCCGCGUCGGAUUAGCUAGUUGGUAGGGUAAUGGCCUACCAAGGCGACGAUCCGUAGCUGGUCUGAGAGGAUGAUCAGCCACACUGGGACUGAGACACGGCCCAGACUCCUACGGGAGGCAGCAGUGGGGAAUAUUGGACAAUGGGCGCAAGCCUGAUCCAGCCAUGCCGCGUGAGUGACGAAGGCCUUAGGGUUGUAAAGCUCUUUUGCCGGGGACGAUAAUGACGGUACCCGGAGAAUAAGUCCCGGCUAACUUCGUG
rnacentral:rRNA from 1 species